rnacentral:rRNA from 1 species
UUACAAUGGCAGGUACAGAGGGAUGCUACCGGGCGACCGGAUGCGGAUCUCGAAAGCCUGUCCCAGUUCGGACUGGAGUCUGCAACCCGACUCCACGAAGUUGGAUUCGCUAGUAAUCGCGCAUCAGCCAUGGCGCGGUGAAUACGUUCCCGGGCCUUGUACACACCGCCCGUCAAGCCAUGGGAGCCGGGGGCGCCUGAAGUCCGGGACCGCGAGGACCGGCCUAGGGCGAAACUGGUAACUGGGGCUAAGUCGUAACAAGGUAUC